CCUCAGCCUUCACUGUGCCCACGGGACCACCGUCCACAAAACCGUCCCGCUUCGACUCAUGAGCCUCGCUGCUCAGAGAAAGAUUCACCGGAACAGACUUCAACACCUGCACGUGAUUAUCUACUGAUGGGGGGCAGCAGGAUCAGUUCCAGGAGCAACGAUUGAAGAAGCUGCUGAGCCCAACCACACGCCUGCCUCAGACGGCCCCCAGGAAGUUACAGCUCUGCCUCUGCCAUGUAAAUCUGUAUUCUAUGUGACUCUCAGGACACGCCUCGGCCUGCGUAGUGAUGUGAUACGUCACGUUCACGUAGCAGCAGCGGUUUUAAACAGUUUAGCGACGAGAAAUGGAUCUACAUAUCAAAUAUUGGGUACAAAUUAUUGCUCACUUUCUGAAUAAUAAAAGUAAAGAACAUCUACUAAUAAUUAUAUAGAAAUAAAUUGUUUUUUUACCAAUGCAAAUAUGUUCAAAAAAAUACGUGAUACAAAUAACCACUUGUAUCUGAUACAAACUUUUUUUUAUAUGUGUGUGUGUCUUGAGUGUGUGUGUGUGUGUGUGUGUGUGU